rnacentral:rRNA from 1 species
CCUACGGGGGGCAGCAGUCGAGAAUCAUUCACAAUGGGGGAAACCCUGAUGGUGCGACGCCGCGUGGGGGAAUGAAGGUCUUCGGAUUGUAAACCCCUGUCAUGUGGGAGCAAAUUAAAAAGAUAGUACCACAAGAGGAAGAGACGGCUAACUCUGUGCCAGCAGCCGCGGGAAUACAGAGGGCUCAAGCGUUGUUCGGAAUCACGGGGCGUAAAGCGUGCGUAGGCUGUUUCGUAAGUCGUGUGUGAAAGGCGCGGGCUCAACCCGCGGACGGCACAUGAUACUGCGGGACUAGAGUAAUGGAGGGGGAACCGGAAUUCUCGGUGUAGCAGUGAAAUGCGUAGAUAUCGAGAGGAACACUCGUGGCGAAGGCGGGUUCCUGGACAUUAACUGACGCUGAGGCACGAAGGCCAGGGGAGCGAAAGGGAUUAGAUACCCCGGUAGUC